AUCUUUGUUGUUUUUUCCUAUUCUUUUUCCAUUUAAUAAGGUAUUCUGAUAAGAGUUUCAGUAUAUAAAAAAGGUGGUUGAAGCUACUGGAUCCAUUUGUCCUGAUAGUAAGACUUUGUUUUUACUAUUCUACAUCAAUAUAUUUAAAAAAACUUAAUCUAAAAUGUCGAAAUUUUUUAUGCUGAUCGUCUUGAUCGCUGUAUUAGCCAACGUUGUGAUCAAUGUAAUGGCAGAUUGCAAAAAAGCAGAUGACGAGUGCAAAACUCAUGAGGACUGCUGUACUAAUUAUUGUGAAGGGGUAUUUGAUGGAUACUCUGAAUGUGUAGAUGUAAAAAAAAGACAAGGAUAAAAUAUUUUAAAACUACAAUGUAAUCCAAUAAGCGAUGAAUAAAAUUCAUUUUGAACACUA